rnacentral:rRNA from 1 species
UACGUAGGGUGCAAGCGUUAAUCGGAAUUACUGGGCGUAAAGCGUGCGCAGGCGGUUAUGUAAGACAGAUGUGAAAAUCCCCCGGGCUCAACCUGGGAACUGCAUUUGUGACUGCAUAGCUAGAGUACGGUAGAGGGGGAUGGAAUUCCGCGUGUAGCAGUGAAAUGCGUAGAGAUGUGGAGGAAUACCGAUGGCGAAGGCAGCCCCCCUGGGAUAACACUGACGCUCAUGCACGAAAGCGUGGGGGAGCAAAACAGG